AGUUCUAGCCACAAUGAGGCAAGGCCUAGUUCGGACUCUAGACCAGUGGAAUUGUUGUAAAUUUUGUAGAUUGGCCAGAGAGGAUCACGUAAGCGCUCCUGCGAUACUUCCACUGACUGGUAUGCUCUACCUGAUCCCAAGGCUUCAAAUUUUGGAGCUACACCUCCAUUGUAAAGAUAUAUGUAGAACGAAAUUUGAUUGUUUCAAGUGACAGCAAUAUUACAAUUUUUUUCUUCUUGAUACGAUGUUUUCUUUUACAUGUCCUAUAAUCCUGUAUCUGGAUUUGAUGGUUUGAUGACUAACAAAAUGUAAAUAGCUAAUAAGCUAGAAUCUGGCUAAAAUAUACCCUAAUGCCUGGCAAAAAUAUACCCUAAAAUCUCAAUUCCAAUUUGGACAAUGAUUUUCCUUUGCUUUGUCUUCCUGGAAAACCUUCACCAAUUGGGAUUAUGAUUUUGCUUUCCUUUUUCAAUCUGGAAAGCCUUUUCUAAAAACGGUCUCUGAUGCCAGCUUAUAUAUACCUCAAACAGAAGCAUCUGUGUAUUCAUUGUGAUCGUGAUUUUAGUUACUACUGAAGUGCUCCUCUUCAUCCAAUGGAACUGCUGCUAUGCUCUAAGAGUCUCAGUGGCAAGCGCAGUAGCCACUGCAAUCUUUCUCUCAACCCCAAGCGCCACCGCAAAAGUCCCAUGGCCUUGGUUUCUUCUACCAUCAACGAUAUUCCUGACUAUCUACUGAUUGAAAUCCUCCUACUUACCUUGAAAUCCGCCAAGCAAUGCUUGCUUGUUUCCAAGCGCUGGUUCGCUCAUCCCUUCCUUCAACGCAAUUAUACAUCUACGCUCUUCCUUUACUAUGAAACCAGCCAAAUCAACAAACUCUUUGUGACCUCCAACAAAUCCUACGGCUUCUCUUUUUGUCACUUGCCUUCCUCCUCCACCCCCAACCGCCUAGACCUAGAGCCAGCCGCCGUGGUUCCUGUGAGGAUUUACUAUUAUGUUGUCGCAAGCUUUUCUCUGAACAUGUAUUACAUCUGCAAUCCAUUUACUGGAACAUGGAUCGAACUGCAUCCUUGUUCUUCUCCUCAUGAUGAAAAUACACGUGUUGGGUUUAUAUGCAGAGGCCGCGGUAUUAAGUUUAGCUACGCUGUGUUUCGAUUUUCGUACUUUGGCGACAGUAUUAUCUCCAAUGAACUUGCAGUUGAGACUUUCUCCUCUGAUAUUGAUAUGUGGCCUAAGAAGAUGGUGUCCUCUGCGCUGGUAAUCUUUGGAUCGCCCAUACUCAAUUUUGGUGGGU
rnacentral:misc_RNA from 1 species